rnacentral:lncRNA from 1 species
CCAAAGCAUGAAAAAAUAAUUCACUCCAAUAUGUAACUGACAAUCGACGACAUGAACCUUAGCUAACAUCUGAGGUUAAUCAUAAAAAGCGAUAUUCUAGUGUACGAGGCUCCCACCUAAUGAGGUUGAUUAUAAUUGUAACAAAAAUUCGGUAUCAGUGGUCCACGUCUAGUCCAAGGUCACCCCAGCGUACCUUGUACUUGGCUGCAAGAUAAUGCGCGCCAACAGGACCGCGACUACCAUAUGGAUAGUAUUCUGGGAUUAUCUUUUUCUCUUCUAGCUCAUUCAGUACAGGUGUAAACAAUGACCAAGCAGCAUCGAGUUCAUCACUACGUAUAAAGAGUCUUCUUUCUCCUUCAAUGGCAUCAAGAAGUAGUCUCUCGUAAGCAUCUGGAAUCUCUGUUGAAUAUCUGAAAUAAACAUGAAAUGUUUGCUUUAAUGGCAAAAGAAAAUGUUCAAUACAAAAUGGAGUAUUUUUAAUAUGGCAAAUGGAGUUUUACAAGCAGGAAAAAUGUUGUAUUUCAUUAACGGGGCAAGAAAAAACAUUUACAUUCCCGAAGUGGCAAACGUAUGUAAUAUAUAAGAGUAGAUCGAUGUUAAAUUUUGCAAAGCCCAUGUAUGAUGGUAAGAACAAAGUGAAUUUGCAGCAACUAAAUUAUUUUACGGGUCCCAUAAACGAUUUUUUCAAGGGUCCUAUAAACUUGAUGUUUUAUACUUAGUAAAAUGAAAUACCUUGCGGCGUAGUGAAGAUUCAGCUUACUGUGGUCCAGCCUCAUUCCCAGGCCUGGCACUUUGUUGUUGAUCUUCAAAUAAAUAGCCUCAUCAGGCUGAACUCGUAUAACAAGUUCGUUUGUAGCCCGAUCAAGAUCAGUUCCAAUAUUCCUAUUGUACAGAUUGCCUGGCACAUGCCUGAACUGCACCCGAAUCUCAGCUCUGAACCCAAAAGCACAAAAUAGUAAAGUAGUUAUAAAAAAAUAUUAUAUAUAUUGAGGUAUACAUCGGUGACAGUGACGUUAAACUAACAAAAUAUAUAUAAGCAAAUUUAUUCCGACAACUUACCCCUUGUUAUGUAACGCUUUCCCAGCUUUCAUCAAAAAAGGAACCCCAUCCCAUCUUGCAUUAUCUAUGAAGAGGGCAGCUGCCGCAAAUGUUGGAGUUAAGCUGUUCUUUGGUACAGUUUUGUCAUCGGUGUAGGCUGGAUAUGUAACACCUCUCUGACAAAUCAGAUAAAGUGACACAUGGAGUGACACACUUUUUGGGAUAGAAGAUGUGCUCCCCUCGAUCCCCAACCCUUUAAUAGCAACAAGAAAGGGAGAGAAAAAAUAAGAAAAAGUAAUGAUCUCAGUGCUUUAUUACACUGCUUUGAUGCUUUAUUCAUGUAUGCCUCAUACCUGUCUUCCAGGGAAUUAAGUAACCAUGCCAAAGCAUGAAAAAAUAAUUCACUCCAAUAUGUAACUGACAAUCGACGACAUGAACCUUAGCUAACAUCUGAGGUUAAUCAUAAAAAGCGAUAUUCUAGUGUACGAGGCUCCCACCUAAUGAGGUUGAUUAUAAUUGUAACAAAAAUUCGGUAUCAGUGGUCCACGUCUAGUCCAAGGUCACCCCAGCGUACCUUGUACUUGGCUGCAAGAUAAUGCGCGCCAACAGGACCGCGACUACCAUAUGGAUAGUAUUCUGGGAUUAUCUUUUUC